ACGGAAGGCAGCAGUGAGGAAUAUUGGUCAAUGGGCGAGAGCCUGAACCAGCCAAGUCGCGUGAAGGAUGAAGGUUCUAUGGAUUGUAAACUUCUUUUGUUCGAGGGUAAAGUGAGGGAUGCGUCCCUUAUUGCAAGUAUCGAACGAAUAAGCAUCGGCUAACUCCGUGCCAGCAGCCGCGGUAAUACGGAGGAUGCGAGCGUUAUCCGGAUUUAUUGGGUUUAAAGGGUGCGUAGGCGGGAUGUUAAGUCAGCGGUGAAAGCGUGUAGCUCAACUAUACCAAGCCGUUGAAACUGGCGUUCUUGAGUGUAAACGAGGUAGGCGGAAUGUGACGUGUAGCGGUGAAAUGCUUAGAUAUGUCACAGAACCCCGAUUGCGAAGGCAGCUUACCAAGAUACAACUGACGCUGAGGCACGAAAGCGUGGGUAUCAAACAGGAUUAGAUACCCUGGUA
rnacentral:rRNA from 1 species